CUCUACCAAAACAAUUCUCUUAUCCUAUGCUCUGAUUGAACAUGUUCUUGGUUUCCAAAAUGCUGAAUUUUUGAGGUAGCUGGUUGAAGUUGGUUUAUCCUAACUCAAAAGAGAUGCUCAUAUGGAUUGAGGAUGUGCAUCGAGACAACACACAUCCACUCCUAACAAGGCAUGAAAAAUCAAGAUUCCUUCCACACAACUUUUCUGUGUGGAUGAAGAAUCUGAAGUUAAUGCUAUGAAUUUGGUUGAUAACACAAUUGAGAGGUUGGAAAGGACUUAUUUUCUUUUGAGAAGAUUAAACAAGUGAAUAGGAGCAGUAGAAAGUUUCAUAAUGACACUUGUAACAGUUUAACUUUGUGAUGAUGAGCUAGAAAAAUGGCAACUGCUUCUUUAUCUGCUGUUGUUAAAACAUGUCACCAUGGCAAAGUCCUUUGUCUUGAUUUUAUCAUAUGCAUGCACUCUGCAACAAGAUAGCAUCAAUUCUUCAUGCCUGGCACGUGACAAACAGGUAAAUAAGCCAGUUGCAAAGUAUCUAGGCAGAGAAAAAGAGCAAGAAAGUUUAUGCUUGUCGGUGCUCAAUCUUUGUAUUCAGUAAUCUUCAGUUGGAGUUUACACAGGACAGAAAAUGUACAUAUACGUUCAUGAUUCAUUGAAUAGAUCAAAGCAUGCCCCACUCUAGCUCAGUGAUUGGAAAACUCUUGCCAGAGUAAUAAUAUGAUUUGUACAGCUUAAGAUAGAACAUGAAAGUUGAAUCCCUUGCAUUCAUGUAACAACCAGAAAGGUUGAAGAUAUUGCAUGUUUGGGAACUACUUUUUCUUAAAAAGUUGAAAAAGAUAAUGAUUAUUUCUUCGAAAUAAG
rnacentral:sRNA from 1 species